UGUUUUUACAGGUGGGAAUGGAGGCCAGAGAAUUUGAGAUUUAAAAAUGCAUUUCAGACAUACCGUCAAGUUAGAGCUUCGUUUUGGUCCGUUGGGGGUGGCCACCAAGUAAACAGCUUGAUUUCCCUCCCCGCUGGAGGUACAAAACGCAGCAUUCACGUUCGCCAACAGAUAAAUGUCUCCAAUCCCUGGCAGUGCUUAAUGGCUUUUAGUAGAGUUAAGGCUGGGAAAAAAGAAACGGACUUCCUCUCAUUGGGUAAAAUUAAAACCCCGAGGAGACGAUUCCAUUUCAGGCAGACCCUUUCCUUCUCUGAUGACUCAUCCACAGCCCAGCCAGCUCCCUUUCGGCUUAUUCAGGUCUUGACGCCCUGACUGCUCUGGAGUCGAAGUAAAAAGAUUCCCAGGAUGUAAGCAACACGGGAACUGGUGAGUGACCGUGUGUUUGGCGAAGGUCGGGGCCUCCACUGGAUUUCAGGAAGGGAAGGGGGAUGGAAGGGAGGCG
rnacentral:lncRNA from 1 species